AAAACUUGCCCUCGACCUUUGCGUCCAAGGCAAACCACACUGUGUGCACCGUUAUUGUUCUUUGGCAAGGGCUUGGGUCUCACCAAGACCCAACUUCUCCUUCGGCUCCAUCCCCUCACGGGGACAGCUGGACAUGGGAAGCCGUACCCUGCCAAGUGACACUUAAACACGCAUUUUGUCUGAAAAUAUCAAUUUUUAAAUAAACCAAACA
rnacentral:misc_RNA from 1 species